rnacentral:rRNA from 1 species
UACGUAGGGGGCUAGCGUUGUCCGGAAUCAUUGGGCGUAAAGCGCGCGUAGGCGGCCCGGUAAGUCCGCUGUGAAAGUCAAAGGCUCAACCUUUGAAUGUCAGCGGAUACUGCCGGGCUAGAGUCCGGAAGAGGCGAGUGGAACUCCUGGUGUAGCGGUGGAAUGCGCAGAUAUCAGGAAGAACACCAACGGCGAAGGCAGCUCGCUGGGACGGAACUGACGCUAAGGCGCGAAAGCUAGGGGAGCAAACGGG